rnacentral:misc_RNA from 1 species
AAGUCGUAACAAGGUUUUGCUAAGCAACAGUCCUUCUGUAGCAGAGCUUAACGGAGACCUUGCACCCGAGAGGGGGGACCGACUCUAAAGAACUCCCAGCGCAAGUCAGCACCGCUGGCAACACAAUCGAAUUGCGGGGACGCUUUAAAGCUCACCAGUACCAACUACUCUUCUAGGGUAGGGCUAGCACAGCUAGAGGUCACAAUCUGGUGGGAUGGUACAAUAAGCAAUCCGCAGCGGCUAAGCCGUUCACAGACUAAGUGGUUGUGGGUAGG